rnacentral:rRNA from 1 species
UGGGGAAUAUUGCACAAUGGGGGAAACCCUGAUGCAGCGACGCCGCGUGAGUGAAGAAGUAUUUCGGUAUGUAAAGCUCUAUCAGCAGGGACGAUAAUGACGGUACCUGACUAAGAAGCCCCGGCUAACUACGUGCCAGCAGCCGCGGUAAUACGUAGGGGGCAAGCGUUAUCCGGAAUUACUGGGCGUAAAGGGUGCGUAGGUGGUUUCUUAAGUCGGAGGUGAAAGGCUACGGCUCAACCGUAGUAAGCCUUUGAAACUGGGAAACUUGAGUGCAGGAGAGGAGAGUGGAAUUCCUAGUGUAGCGGUGAAAUGCGUAGAUAUUAGGAGGAACACCAGUUGCGAAGGCGGCUCUCUGGACUGUAACUGACACUGAUGCACGAAAGCGUGGGGAGCAAACAGG